UAUCUUCUUCUUCCUUGUGGGACUCACUGC
rnacentral:piRNA from 1 species